CCUACGGGUGGCUGCAGUGGGGAAUAUUGGGCAAUGGACGCAAGUCUGACCCAGCAACGCCGCGUGAAGGCAGAAGGCUUUCGGGUUGUAAACUUCUUUUAAGGGGGACGAGCAGAAGACGGUACCCCUUGAAUAAGCCACGGCUAACUACGUUCCAGCAGCCGCGGUAAUACGUAGGUGGCAAGCGUUGUCCGGGUUUACUGGGGGUAAAGGGCGUGCCGCCGGGAAGACAAGUCAGAUGUGAAAUCCAUGGGCUCAACCCGUGAACUGCAUUUGAAACUGUUUUACUUGAGUGUCUGAGAGGUAAUCGGAAUUCCUUGUGUAGCGGUGAAAUGCGUAGAUAUAAGGAAGAACACCAGUGGCGAAGGCGGAUUACUGGACGAUAACUGACGGUGAGGCGCGAAAGCGUGGGGAGCAAACAGGAUUAGAGACCCGAGUAGUC
rnacentral:rRNA from 1 species